ACUGAGUAUUUUUUAUCAUUGUUGUGGUUAAAAAGUUUCUAGCUGUGGUUAAAUUUAGCUCUUUUGUGAGUAUGGAAAUCAGUGGGACAGUCACUUGUCAUUGGUGCGUUCUGCUCCAUAUUUGUAAUUAGAGUAUAUUGAUUGAGUGGUAAUCAAAUCUAAACGCUAACAGUAAUUUCUGGGUUUGUUAAAGCAUGAGUGUUCUUUGCUGUGCUUUUUUUCAAGAAUUUCUUGCGAAAGGAAUUUUUUAGGCAGUAGAGAUACUUACUUUGUAAAUGUCCUAACAAAUCAGUCUUGAUUAAUGUUCUAUUACCACAUUCAAUUUUUAUUGGGAUUCAUUGAUAGGGAAUGAGGUUUUUGAAUUUCCAAUAUAGAUGGAAAACAAGUUGAUUUCAAUGGUAUGAUUAUAGUAAUAGUGAAAUGUUUUGAUUAUAAUUGGACGGACGGAAGCGAAAGCGAUUGAAAAUAACUUUUUCGUCGG
rnacentral:rRNA from 1 species